rnacentral:rRNA from 1 species
UACGAAGGGGGCUAGCGUUGUUCGGAAUUACUGGGCGUAAAGCGCACGUAGGCGGACAUUUAAGUCAGGGGUGAAAUCCCAGAGCUCAACUCUGGAACUGCCUUUGAUACUGGGUGUCUUGAGUAUGGAAGAGGUGAGUGGAAUUCCGAGUGUAGAGGUGAAAUUCGUAGAUAUUCGGAGGAACACCAGUGGCGAAGACGGCUCACUGGUCCAUUACUGACGCUGAGGUGCGAAAGCGUGGGGAGCAAACAGG